AACGAGCUCGUACCCCAAACCGACACAGGUGGGUGGGAUGAGAAUUCUAAGGCGUUUGAGACAACUCGGGUGAAGGAACUCGGCAAAAUGGUACCGUAACUUCGGGAGAAGGUACGCCCCUGGUAUGUGAAGCGACUUGCUCGUGGAGCAGAAGGGGGUUGCAGUGACCAGAUGGCUGCGACUGUUUAGCAAAAACACAGCACUCUGCUAACACGAAAGUGGACGUAUAGGGUGUGACGCCUGCCCGGUGCCGGAAGGUUAAUUGAUGGGGUUAGCUUCGGCGAAGCUCUUGAUCGAAGCC
rnacentral:rRNA from 15 species